rnacentral:pre_miRNA from 1 species
UGCUGGCCCUUGCCCAGUCUAACCAAUGUGCAGACUACUGUACAACGGCAUUGUCCUGAACAGGUAGUCUGAACACUGGGGCGACGGAGCAGGAUCUCCA